rnacentral:rRNA from 1 species
CCCUUAGAUGUUCUGGGCUGCACGCGUGCUACAAUGGCGCUUGCAACAAGUCUUGCCAACCCGAUAGGGUGAGCGGAUCUUUGAAGAGGCGUCGUGAUCGGGACAGUUGAUUGCAAUUAUUCGACUCGAACGAGGAAUUCCUUGUAAUCGCGAUUCAUCAUAUCGCGCUGAAUACGUCCCUGCCCUUUGUACCCACCGCCCGUCGCUCCUACCGAUUGAGCGAUCCGGUGAAUGUUUUGGACUGGCGUCAGAAGCGGUUCGCUCCUGACACUACGAAAUUUUGUAAACCUUAUCGCUUAGAGGAAGGAAAAGUCGUAACA